UCCUGCAAGGCAGCCCUUAAGUUUUAGUGCGUGACCUUUGUAACAUUUAUUUUUUUGUCAUUUAGGGGCUUUAAAAAGAAACUUCCUCCUAUGGUUUUGUUCUGUAUGAGAGAGCUGAGGCAGCUGACUAAGGAAAGAACUCUUAUGUAACGAUGAGUCCUGCCCUUUCCUUCCAAUAGUGUUCCUCUGCAGCCUGUUCAGAAUGGUUAGCCUGCCAAAGCAAAACCCUCAGAGGUGCAGACCUUCGGGAAGAAGUGCAAAUGCCACACUCUGCAUUGGAAAAAACGGGGAAAAUGAGCCUCCUAUGCUCUAUCUGCCGAACAUUUAAAACUGCAUAAAGCACAGGAAAUACUUUUGGCAUGGGGGAAUGUGUGGCUGUUUCCAAACUACAAACACUGUUCUGCAAAGUUCCCCGGUAGUGGUGAAUUAUAUGAGACCAUGUCCAUCUAAGUAAGGCUUGUUUAACUAGCCUGUGGUUCUGGGGCUCAUUCAAACACUCUUAAACAAAAUAAAGGGAAUGGAUGUAAUAACUUCUUUAUGGAAAGUCCAUAAAAAGCUAGAGGGCCGUGUAAACAAAUUGGGUCAUUUACUAGAUGUUUAAGUGAUAGAUUUGCAGUCCAAAUUUAGGGCUGCAUGUGAUGUUUUAUAGGGUCAUGCCUAUAUUCCUACUUGAGAGUAAGGGGAUAAAUUUGGCUGUUUGUGUGUUUGUUUUUGUCUAGCACGUGAAAUCCCAUCAUUGCUAUUUUAUUGUAUAGUUUGAAAAUACCUAAGAUGUAGUCCAUAUAUAUUUGUCUUUUGUCUGUCCAUUCCACUUUAUAUGAAAAGUUGAAUUGGCCUACUUUUUGGUCGCACUGGGUUCUAUUAAAGGAAAAUAUGAUGAUUGAAAUUGAAAUUUUCCUUCUAGGCUCAGACAUGUCGAAACUAAUUGUAAAAUAAUUGUUCUGGCUCACAAGAGGAGACCUUCAACUACAGCUAUGUAAAAUAGAAAUCCAAACAGCAGUUAUGACUUAUGGUCAUUGGAACUCUGCUUGUCUUGGAAUUAGUCCUCUUAUGACAAACUACAUAUGACAUCGGUUCAUCUUCCUGGAGAGUUAGACCUUAAAUCCAGUCCCCAGUUUUCCUCCUCUCAGUAGAGCCUCCACACUGCAUUAGAAAAUUCCUUUCCCUUCUCUGAAAUUGAGCAGGAGGAUUGUGUCACACUGAUCCACAACAUAGAGCCCAGAGAGCUAGGGGCAUAAACCUUCCACAUUAGGUGGACAGCAGAAGCCAAUCAUCCUUGUGAGCAUCAAAGUGAGCAGAAGAUGGUAAAUAACUUCUACAUUGAGUCUGUAACACAUCUUAAUUCUCUGGUCCCUCAGCUCUGAUUGGUUUGCAUGGCUUUAAAGGAAGUGAGUGUGUAAGUAAUCCACAGUACUCAUCAAGGAAUCAACGAUCCUUUCUAGCUUUUAAUAAGUGAUGGUGUCAUACCAUGCUGGCAAGUCUGAUGUGUUGCUGUUGGAAGUUUGGCAGAGGAAGUAAAUCCUCUGAUACCCAGGUUUAAACAGUAGACAAUGGUAGAUUCUACAAUUUCUAUGUAAUGUGUGACUUGCCCUUCCUUCUUCCUUCCUUUCUUUCUCUUUCUCUCUUUU